GGACAGUGGUUAGUUGUAAAUAUAUAAAUACAUAAAAGCAAGUAGUGUCUUUUUUCAUAUUCUGUAUUAUCUGUGCUUGUGAGUUAAUGUGGGUAACUUCUGAAAAUCAGAUUGUGUUUGGCAUAUUUGGAACACAAGAGUGAUUGUGAGUUACCUCAGCGUAAUAAAUUAAGCAGAAUGGUUGCCACAUUUUUGAGUAUUUCCCUACGGGAGAAGCACCUUCGUAUAGCAAAACUGCACACGAGAGAGGCCUGUUGGGUUAAAAACAACAACAACAACAACAAACCCCCACCACCAUGGAGAUAGAAAUUACAGUCUUCUACAUAUAGUCUCAGGUAGUACAGUCCAGAAUUCUAUUACCUCAGCCUACCCUGAGAUCCUGACUAAAGAUUAGAGCUCUCACAUGAAGAGUGGUCUGAUCUGUUGAGAAUUUUGAGAUAUUCUCCAGAAACACACAGAGAGAGAGAAGAAAAAAUCUGGAGAGACUCGUGCGCCUGCUGGCCACCUUUCUCCAUCCAUUCUCUUGUCCUGCCCAGCAUCUCCCUGGGAAGCUUCCGAAUUCAUACCACAGUUUUCUCCAACCUGGUGCCCUCCCAUCACUCCUGGACAAUGUGGCCAAAGGGCAGAGAUGAUGGGAGUUACAGUCCAAAAUAUCAAAAGGCUGGAGAAGACUGGUGCAACAUGUAACCAAGCACUCAUUCAGAAUAUUAUGUAGAAUAGCUGUGAGUUUCUUCAGCAAUUCAAAUGUAACCAGGUAAAAGGGAAUUUCAUGGAUGUGUUUCUUCUGUAAGCCUCUUUCCUUUGAUGUAGGCAUCAAAGCCUGGAUAUGAAAAGCAGAAAUAUGCCAGUACAAGCAUCCAUUAGGGAACUGAUUUGAAAAUCUACCGCCUGUUCCAUCUUUCAGAUAUUACCUACGCCUUUCUUGAAACUCAACACCACUGAGGGAAAUUUCUUGGUUCUACUAUAGUGAUAACAUGUCAUUAUGGAAAGCUUACUUUGCACCCCCUAGACCUUUUGGGUCUCCUUUUUUCCACUAGAACCCCAAGAUCUACCACCCAGAGCAAAUGUUAGGAUUAAAGAACAGGAUGUCUCUGAGCAAAUUCUGAGUUGUAGAAUUUGUUUUCAGGACAAGAACUGAUCUAAGUUCAAAAUCUUUCCACACAAAAGUCCACUCCUGGUUAGUGUUCUUCAUUUCAGCAGCCUUAAUUUAGGUGAAUUUUUCUUGUUGUUGUUGCUAUUAUUAAACAAUCUAAACAAGUUAGAAACUUUUGCCUGCAAGUUACCCAGAGAUCUUUUAGUAGAUCUCAAACUAUCUUUUCCUCACCCCAUUGCACGCACAACAGUUUGUUGUGUGACCUCUCUUUACUCGAGGUCCAGACAAGAUGCUCACACUUGCUUUCCUCACAGUUCUAGAUAUUAUGCAAAGAGGAAAAUAUGCCUGUAUAUUAUGAAAAGGUAUGCAUGCUCCUAGUGCAGAACUAGAGAUGAGGGAGAAAUCUGAUUCUGGUCUCAUUUGAAGUUGAAUAGAACAGAUAUUCACAAAUUUGCAUCUAGACUAGACUGUUAGGAGCUACAUUCCUCAAAAACAGAACAAGAGAUGGAAUACCUUUGCAAAGAUAUAGCCCUGUCUACAUAUUACUAACCCUAAAAAUGAAUCCAAGAAGAUCCACAUCCAGGGGAUGGACAGGAUGUAAGCAAAAAGUGGACUUCAUGCACCCUUGCCAUCCAGGUAGAUCAACUAGACUAUUUCAUCAAAGGAACUGUACCUAAGUGAUGCCAGUUCCUAGGGGAUUCCAACCUUGACCGACUUCCCCCUAGGGGAGGGAAGAUUAUGAAUAAGGUGAUACUGACUUCCAAGUGAAGAUGGCAACGAGUAAGGCUGCUUGUCCCUGCGCUCUGCAGUCUUGUCUAGUUUUAAUUUGUUUUUAACUGAAUAGUUUUAAAGUAGUUGGCUCAGAAUUACAAUUACCGGUACAAUUCUAUUCCUGUUUCUAAUUUAACAAUUCUCUGCUCUUUUAAAGCCACCCAAGUUUGUGGCUAUCACUGUUUCCUGUGUGAAGAAAUGCUUUACUUUAUCUGUUGUGAAUCUUCCAACAUUCAGUUUCAACAUUCAGAUGCUCUUAGACUCCCAACUCCCACCAGCCCCAGCCAGAUGACCAAUGAUCAGAGACCACAUCUGGAGGUCCCAGGUUCUCCACUCUUUCAGUAGACUAUACUGAGCCAAAUGGAACAGUACCCUGACUCAGAAUAAAAUAGCUUCCUAGAAGUUAUCUGAAAUAUAUAGCAUAGUGUCAAUUUUCACAUAAAAAGGAGGAUUACAGCUCAAGACUUACUGCUGCACAAUAUAACUCUCUCACUCGAGCGGAGCCUCUUUUUUCUGAAUACCCAAAUAAGAAAUAAUCUUGUUUAAAAAUAUCGUAUCUUGAUGUCAUGAUAAAGAUAGUAGCACCAUCAAUAUAAUGACUGGUGACAAUGUAGGUUUGCUCUGACACACUACUAAUUCAGUACUCUGCCUUCUGGAAUCUUUCUGUCAUUUAUAACACAAAGCAGUCAGGUGAUAAUGGGCCUUUUGCCUUACAGAGUUUCCAAGCUACUGGAUUAAAAAAAAAAUCCUCUGUAGUCCCUAUAGCAUUCUUCAAUAACGCUACUGAAAGAGCAUCAAUCACAAAUAGCAACUUUGCUGUAAUGUAACCCAGCAAUGUAACAUAGUUACAACUAGAGUGGAAAUUCAUUCUGUGCACAUUUUAGAAGUGGCAUUUCAAAAUCCCAAUUAAAAGCAGUUGGGGUUUUUAAUAUGAAACUAGGUAUUUGAGGCCCCAGAGAAGAAUGAGACUAUUUCACUGCUUCUCUUCUUUAUCCAGGCUUCUCUGCCCCCCAUGUUACCAGCGUCCCCGUGUGCAUGGCUUUUUUAAAGCAAUGUAUUAUUUGAUUGUUGUUUCGUUUGUUCUAUUUUAACCUCACCCUUCCUUCUAAAGGAGCCCAGGCUGGCAUACACACAAUCCAACACAUUACAAAAUUAAAACACUUUAAACAACCACAUAAAAACUAAGCAAAAAACUAAACAAAAAACAGAAACAGUACAUCCCAGUGACAAGUGAUAAGAUAAGGUUAGAUCCAGUAACCCUCCCAAAAGGCUUGAACAAACAAAUACAUUUUUAGCUUGCCGGGAAACACAAACACAAUGUUAUGGAAAGACUCUCUCUCUCUCUCUCUAUCUCUCUCUCUCUCUCUCUCUCUCUAUAUAUAUAUAUACUCGCACCCACUUUGUGCAGUGUUUUAUUGUUGUUCACAUGCACUUUGGUAAAAUGAUGCAGAAUUAUAAUCUUGCUGCAAUUAUAGCCCUAAUGGAACAGUCUCUCUCACGCAAUUUACAAUUCAGGUCAUGGAGCCCUUCCCUCUGCAUCACAUCUUUUACUGUUUGAUGGAAACACUAACAAAACAACAGCAACACCCAAAUGAGUGAAAUAUGGUCUCUUCCAGUUUCCCACCAACCCCGGAAAACAAAAUGAACAAGGGAGGGUGUAACUAGCAGGUGAAAGAACUCACUAGCUCAGGACAUAAUUUUCUGCUGGGAAUCAUGGGAUCUGUACUUUGCUUCCUGAAUUGAUUCUGGAGUCAAAACUAUAACCCCAUGCUCUCCAACUUAAAAUGGUGGCUGAAGGGCAUAGGACUUUUUUUUCUUCCUGAAUCUCUCUAUUGAGGGCUCAUAGCUCUGUGUGAGUGAGACAGGUUAGCCAUGAAGGUGGCCUGUACAUCACCCUUUGGUUACAACAGACCAGCAGGGCUGACUUUAAUGAGGCAGCGGGUAGCAGUCUGCUUUGGCAGCAGGCCAACGGGGUGGCAAAUCUGACCACCUGCCACUGCGGCUCUCAUGAGAUCUCACCAGAAGUCACAGCUGUUUUCCCUCUCUUUCCUGGUGCUGCUGCAGCUGCCUUACUUAUCCCCCCCCCCAAACCAGCACCACCACCAGAGAAGCAAGGAGAAGCAGCCUUCCAGGUUCCAGAGACAUCUUACAGGGUUCUAGCAAGAUCUCGCUGGAAACCAGCACCAGUUAUUUUCACUUCUCCAGUGGCACCAUUGGUGCCCCACCUCACAAGAACUCCAUGAGAUCUGACCGGAAGCUGUCACACAAUCCCAGUAAGCAAGGUGGCAGUGGUGGAGCAGCUGUUUUGCCUCAGGUGCCAAAACAGGACUGGCUGCCUCUGCAGAGCAGGGGAGAUGAGUUUCAUGAAUCCUACAUCACCUUGAAGUUGUCUGUGUUUUCCCUCAUAUGUUUUAUUUUCCUGUAUGCCACAGUUGUGUGACCAGUUGGCAUUUCUUAUUUACCCUGCCCAUCCAGCAUUAAUUGUAAUGGGAAAGUGAGAAAGAUUGCAAAACUGAAGCCAAUAUGUGACCAGCCAGUUCUACCCUGUGACUCAGGGGUGGCCAUGCCGUUGCUGAGAAAUGAAAAAGAAGGUGGGACAUAUUUAGCUCUUCUACCUCACUCAAAGCCAGGCUCCAUCAACAUGCAAAUCCAACCCUGCCUGAACCCUUUUGGAUUGGGUGGACAAAUUGCUUUGUUCUAGAGUAGUUUCCAGCACUUAUUUAAACAUUGCCAGCAUAUUGCAAGAGUUCGUUCCAUAGCAUAGCUUACAAGGCAGAUAUUUUUCUUCAACUAUUUUAAGCAUAACCACAAUGCUAGCACAAAUGAGUACAUUUUAGGAGUGUGAUUAUUCACACAGUCUUCAUGCAAUCCUGAAAGGUGAUGGUAAGCAGUGAAUUCAGACUUCCAAACUGGUGUGUGAAAAUUCAAUAGUUGUUGUUUUUUUCUUCCAGAGAGGAGAGCUUGUGAGGAGUGGAGUGGCAUUCUGAACUCUGCUUCCAUUUCGUUUUUGUUUUGUUUUGUUUUCCAAAUAGGAGCAGCCAUGUUUCUGCCCCACAUCCACACACCCCAAAUGGGCUGAAACAAUGCUAUGUCUGGGCCAGAGCUGAAGUCAGCCUAACCUUUUUAAAAAGAUUUUUUUUUAAAAAGCAUUAAGAAACUGCCUGCUGCUACAAACUAUAUAAUGUAGUGAUACCUCCGGUUACGAUCUUAAUUCAUUUGUGACCAGAAACCGUUCUUAACAUGAGGCACGCUUUCGCUAAUGGUGCCUCCCGCUGCUGCUGCUGCUGCUGCACCGCCGGAGCGCGACUUCCACUCGCAUCCCAGGGCAAAGUUCACAACCGGGAGCAUCUACUUCUGGGUUAGCAGAGCUCAUAACCCGAAGCAUUCGUAAGGAGGACAGUACGUAACACGAGGUUCCACUGUAUAAGAAACAGCUCCUACAUUCAGUGCCUGUAAAUGGAGCAACAAUAUUCAAGAGCC
rnacentral:lncRNA from 1 species